rnacentral:rRNA from 1 species
CCCAGACUCCUACGGGAGGCAGCAGUGGGGGAUAUUGCACAAUGGGGGAAACCCUGAUGCAGCGACGCCGCGUGGGUGAAGAAGUAUUUCGGUAUGUAAAGCCCUAUCAGCAGGGAAGAAAGAAGACGGUACCUGACUAAGAAGCCCCGGCUAACUACGUGCCAGCAGCCGCGGUAAUACGUAGGGGGCGAGCGUUAUCCGGAUUCACUGGGUGUAAAGGGAGCGUAGACGGCCGUGCAAGCCAGGAGUGAGAGCCCGGGGCCCAACCCCGGGACUGCUCUUGGAACUGUGCGGCUGGAGUGCGGGAGGGGCAGGCGGAAUUCCUGGUGUAGCGGUGAAAUGCGUAGAUAUCAGGAGGAACACCGGCGGCGAAGGCGGCCUGCUGGACCGCGACUGACGUUGAGGCUCGAAAGCGUGGGGAGCGAACAGGAUUAGAUACCCCCGUAU